AUACGGAGGAUGCGAGCGUUAUCCGGAUUUAUUGGGUUUAAAGGGAGCGUAGGUGGGAUAUUAAGUCAGCUGUGAAAAUUUGGGGCUCAACCUUAAAAUUGCAGUUGAUACUGGUUUCCUUGAGUACGGUACAGGUGGGCGGAAUUCGUGGUGUAGCGGUGAAAUGCUUAGAUAUCACGAAGAACUCCGAUCGCGAAGGCAGCUCACCGGGCCGGAACUGACACUGAUGCUCGAAAGUGCGGGUAUCAAACAGGAUUAGAUACCCUGGUAGUCCGCACAGUAAACGAUGAAUACUCGCUGUUUGCGAUACACGGUAAGCGGCCAAGCGAAAGCGUUAAGUAUUCCACCUGGGGAGUACGCCGGCAACGGUGAAACUCAAAUGAAUUGACGGGG
rnacentral:rRNA from 1 species